AAUUAAAAAAAAAGUUUUGGCCGAUAAUUUAAAACGCGCAAGAGAAGCUUACCGGCAAAAAAGAGCUCAAAUGCAGCAGGAGCAAGUAAAGGCAAAUGAAAAUAUUGCUUCUGAUUUGACAAAGGACAAUGAUGAUGUUCCACAAUUUCGCUCACCUACCAGUCUGGGCCAUGUUGAUAUAUCCGACAUGGAUUCAGUUUUCGACACCCCCAGAAAAGCAAAGCUAAGGCCGCGAG